rnacentral:rRNA from 1 species
UACGUAGGGGGCGAGCGUUGUCCGGAUUUAUUGGGCGUAAAGAGCUCGUAGGCGGCUUGGCAAGUCGGGUGUGAAACCUCCAGGCUCAACCUGGAGACGCCACUCGAGACUGCUAUGGCUAGAGUCCGGUAGGGGACCACGGAAUUCCUGGUGUAGCGGUGAAAUGCGCAGAUAUCAGGAGGAACACCGGUGGCGAAGGCGGUGGUCUGGGCCGGCACUGACGCUGAGGAGCGAAAGCGUGGGUUGCAAACAGG